UACGUAGGGACCAAGCGUUGUUCGGAAUUACUGGGCGUAAAGGGCUCGUAGGCGGCCAACUAAGUCAGACGUGAAAUCCCUCGGCUUAACCGGGGAACUGCGUCUGAUACUGGAUGGCUUGAAUCCGGGAGAGGGAUGCGGAAUUCCUGGUGUAGCGGUGAAAUGCGCAGAUAUCAGGAGGAACACCGGUGGCGAAGGCGGAUCUCUGGGCCUGUCCUGACGCUCAGGCGCGAAAGCUAGGGGAGCAAACAGG
rnacentral:rRNA from 1 species